AGGCAUGCGGGUUUAUUGUUAGAAUUAAUGGACUAUUAAUAAGAAAUGUAGAUAAUGUAUGCUGCAGAGCUUUGAAAAUCCUGAAACACACCCUAAGGGUUAUGGAAUUUACAUCUUUCAUAGCUUCUAUUAUUUCUUCACUAGUUUGCAGCUAUGCCCACACCUGGAAGGUGACAAAAGGUGGAGUUUACUUUCUCGCCCGUGUCAGCAGUCAUACGGUGGAAUCCAUGAAAAUUGGAUUUCCUUUUUCUGGUGCGUUUUACUCUUGAACUGUGUAACUGUGGAUAACUUUAAUACUGCCCAUUCUUUGUUUACAGUUAUAUAAUUUCUAUUAGCCUUAAAAGUAACCGAUAUAUUUCUUUUUUAAGGUUUCAGUAUAAAACAUAAUCUGCAUCUUCAUUAUGAAACUCAUAUGCAAUUUUCUUCUAUCUCUAGAAGUUUAGAUUGAGGUUUAAAAGAACCAUUUUCAUUAUCAAGCUUCCCCAUAGUUUCCCACUUUCUUAUUCCAAAUAUUUUUAAAAAUCACACCAAAUAUCAGAGCUUUUAGCAAUAUAAAGAAAGAUUUAUUUUCAAAAGUAGCAAAACUUGUUUGAAAAAAAUAUAUAUCUUUAAGUGAAUUACUUUAUAAAUGUGACUGUCAAAGUCAGCUAUCCUAUGAUCUACAUUUUACAACAUAUUGUACAAAAGAUACAUUGAUAGGCUCUUAUCUAUUUAUAUAUUUAUAAUUACAUAUUGCACUUGGACCAGCAAGGCUUGCAGAGUCAUUCACGGUAGAAGUUAAUAAAGUUAAAUAGAUGGCAAUCUUUGUAAGUACAAUUGAUCUCCUCUGGUUUGGAAACGAAUCUCCUCGUCGUUGUAAAGUGUUCUCGCGGGGUGGGACAGAGAGAGGAGCAUUGCGAGGGGGAAGCAGAGACAGAGAGCACUGAGGGCAGGGGUCGCCUUCCCGGGGCCCGCUCCCCCCGGGAGCGCGCCUUUCCCAGACUCGCACCUCCAAGGUCAGGACGCGGUGGUUCCACAUAAGCGGCUCGCGGUCACCACUUCCUUCAGGUCACUCUCGGGUUUCCCGGCCACCAUAAAGGGCCACGUCUGCGGGAAAGAAGAGGGUGGAGGAGAGUUGUGAGAAGGAACCCCGAGGACUUCUGCAGCAGAGGAACCGGCUCUCUGUUUCCCCACUCCCAGAGUCGUGGCCGUAGAGGAGGGUGAGCGAGCGCUGAGGAAUUUGGUGGACACUAGGAAUUUAUCUGGGGAAUAGAGGGGCGGAUCCUUGCAGCCCAGGGGAGGGGCCUGCCAGGCCCCAGCAAAGCGCUUAGACCCCUUUCACAACCGGAGGGAAACUCAAUGCACAGACCCUGAUUUGCAACUUGUAAUGUAAAUCAACUCAACUGCAUCAUGUACUUACCAGCCACCUUCUCCCAACUGUGGCCGGGCCGAGAAGAAGCAUGUUCUGUCCAUCUGUAAAAGGCCUUCUUUCUCUCUUAAGACGUCACAACUGGUUGUUACUGAGAACUUUAGAAAAACAACUAGAUCGUUUGGCUCUUUCUGGGCCUUCCACCUAUACUCCAUGCCCUCUCUCCUCCCAAGAAAACACGAAUUAAAAUACAGGGAGUAUCAACUGCAUCCUGCCAACACCUCAUAAGACUCCAAGGCUUUACCGAGAUCUUCCACCUUCCCCGGGAUAAAUGAAGACAAGUGCUUCCUAGAAUCUUUAUGGUGAUGGAAAAGUGGAGAUUUAAAUGACCACAUCCACCCUAAGAUUUAUUGUGAGAAUGAUUGAUGUUAUAAACCAGGAAAAGGACUCUUCCCACAGCAGGGAUGACAGAAAUAUCAAGCUGAAGUUGCCUUUGUCUUCACAUACGAAUGACCCAGUACUACAACACAGAAAGUAUAAUAAUUUAAUCUGAGGUUCAAGACAGCAGUGAGAGAACACCCAGCAGGCCUGUUAAAAAUUUCUUCACUAAUUCCUCAACCAGUUUCCUUUGAUUUGCUCUCCCUUUUCUCAGUCUUGGUAAAACAUGAAAGUUAAAGUUAUUUUUAGACUACAGAGCUAUGUGAAAAUGGGCAUUGGCCAAUACUUUGUGAAAUGUGUGUGUGUGUGUGUAGCUACUAAGAUAUCUGCAAAAUAACUACAAAUAAUUAAUUUGGACUCUGGAAUGUGAUAAUUAUUAUAAAUCCAAACUAUGGCCUUACUGCAUACAUUAAGCUGUGAUUUUUCUUGUUGGAGCCAUUUUUUUUUCUUUUUGGCUCUGGGUCUCUGUUACACCUUAGUUAAUGGACUGCUCAGGCUGUCUGGGGAGAUAGUAAAAAUCAUAGUAAUAUGUACCACUGAAAAGAUUUCUGUUGUCUGUAUAUUUUUCAAUGUUGGAAACUUAAAAGUACCAAUUUCUGGAAGCAUGUAAAAUUAGCCUCAUGUCAUAGGAUGGUUUUUAUGCUUAGCAAUUAUUUUUCUUCAUAGCCAUAUAAGAAAUAAUUAAGUCCCAUGUCCAUUUAUCUUGCAGUAAGACAUUUGGGCUGAGAAAGGCUAGUGGGCUGAUAAUAAAUUUUGGAGUGUUUCUAAAAUUCUGUAAAAGAUGGCUUCCAGUUUGGGAGUAAGAGUCAAAGAAUACUGUUGCUUAUGUAUCUUGAUAUGAAGUCUUGGAGAGAGAAUAUUCAUAUGAAAAAUACUUUUUUUCUUUUAAAAUUUUGUGUCUAUCCCUGCUAAUAAACACUUAGGGACAAAUGGGUGGGAGAAAUGACUUCUUGUUGGAUUCUACUGAGCAAGUCAGUUAAGCUGUAACUUAAGCUGUGCCAAAUUCUCCCAAAAUAUAAACUAUAUUCUGUGAGAAGACAAGCACUUUUGAGAAGCUGUAUUAACCCUUUUGGUAAGUUGACCACUUCUGUUCCAAAGCACGAAAUAGAAAACUCGUGAUUUGAAAGUAUGAGAUCAUUUCUAAAAGUUCUUACCUGACUUUUAAGAAGCAGUUAUGCCCCAGAGGCAUCUGGCCAAUUUGCUGCUCACUUCUAACAAUUUGUUUUGCAAGAGAGACUAUCUUUGAAAGAUUUUAGUGCUAAGGAAAUUUUAUCUCUGAAAGCUGUAAAAUGAAGAUUAGGCAUGGAAUGUACCCUUGAACUUAAAUCCUGGUUUAUCAGCUGAUACAUUUACAGGAAGUUCAAAUUUGAUUCAGUUGCACUUGGAUGGAAUAAUUUGCUUCCUUUUUUAUGAGAAGGAAAACAUCAUAGGCUUCCUUUGAACUGACUUCAUAUGCCAUUACAUAAUCUUUCUCAGGGGAAAAAUAUGCCUUUAAAUUUAAAUGUUAAUCCUUUUCUCUUACUCCUCAUCAUUUGGUCAGGAGACACAGGCUGGCAAAUUGGCAAAACUGCCCAUUCUCUUUUUUCUUCAUUUCUAAUUAGCACCGCCAGAUGUUUUAUUCAUUUUAUUUGAUGGUAACUACCACCACUUCAAAUAUUUGCCAACUUUCUAUGCAAGUUGACGCCUUUUUUUUUUUCUUUUUUUGAUGGAGUCUUGCUCUGUCACCCAAGCUGGAGUGCAUCAGCACGAUCUAGGCUCACUGCAACCUCUGCCUCCCAGGUUCAAGAGAUUCUCAUGCCUCAGCCUCCCGAGUAGCUAGAAUUACAGGUGCCUGCCACCAUGCCUAUCAAAUUUUUGUAUUUUUAGUAGAGGUGGGGUUUCACCAUUUUGGCCAGGCUGGUUUCAAACUCCUGAUCUACCCACCUCGGCCUCCCAAAGUGCUGGGAUUACAGGCAUGAGCCACCGUGCCCAGCCAGGUGCCUCUUUUUUGAUUUUACAUAAUUAUCUCCAUAUACUUUGUUUGCUGCUGAUUGAUUGUUGUCUAUCUCCCACUUAUAUGCCUAUCAAACUCUGACUUUGUUUCAUUAAAUUUUAACUUUAUUUAAUAAAGUGGGCAUUACCUCUCUUUGCUCAUUCUAAAUUAUAGUGGUGCUGUCCUGUUAUAUUUUGGCAGCCAAAGUGAAUAUGGCACUAGUGAGCUUGGUGGCUAGCUAAGAAGGUCAAUAACAGUGAUGCUGGGUGUUGCUGCUACCUUUACCUGGCACCAGCUGGGAGACGGUAUAAAUCCUGGAUGGUAUAAAUCCAUUCAGUAAUUAGAAGUCUUCUGCAUGUUCACUAUACCCUAACCCCCUCUUUUCACAUUGAAUUCAGUGAAUUGUAGAUAAGAUGCCACAUUGCUAAGAUUUAAAGGUGGCAAAUAACAACAAUAAAGUCUAGGGAAAGAUUCUGCAUGGUUCUUUGAAUCCAGGAGUUAAUCUUGCAUUUCACAUGUUCCACAAUACAGCUUUGAAAGCAGCCAAGCCUAUGCACUUGAAAGUCAGAGUUUACCCUAAGGUGUAAGUGGGCCAGAGAAAACUCGGGCAGACAAAGAGAGUUAAAAAUUUUGCAAAGCCAGUUUAAUGUCCUCCUAAGUUUUCUAAUACUAGAAUAAUUUUAUUAGACCCUCUCAGUGUUAGGAAAGAGAGAGAAAAGGACUGAGCGACUCCUGAGUCAGGUACCAUGCAGGGACUUUUGCCUCCAUUCUCUCAUUUCAUGUAUUUUCUCUCCUUUCUGUUGGCACUACUAAAGAAAGAGCUGCCACAUGAAAUGAACAGUGUAUUAGAAAUGUAUGCCAGAGGCUUUCCCCUGUAAUAAAGUUUUAGAAAAACUG
rnacentral:antisense_RNA from 1 species